rnacentral:rRNA from 1 species
UAAUUUGAGAGUUUGAUCCUGGCUCAGGACGAACGCUGGCGGCGUGCCUAAUACAUGCAAGUCGAACGAACUCUGGCAUUGAUUGGUGCUUGCAUCAUGAUUUACAUUUGAGUGAGUGGCGAACUGGUGAGUAACACGUGGGAAACCUGCCCAGAAGCGGGGGAUAACACCUGGAAACAGAUGCUAAUACCGCAUAACAACUUGGACCGCAUGGUCCGAGCUUGAAAGAUGGCUUCGGCUAUCACUUUUGGAUGGUCCCGCGGCGUAUUAGCUAGAUGGUGGGGUAACGGCUCACCAUGGCAAUGAUACGUAGCCGACCUGAGAGGGUAAUCGGCCACAUUGGGACUGAGACACGGCCCAAACUCCUACGGGAGGCAGCAGUAGGGAAUCUUCCACAAUGGACGAAAGUCUGAUGGAGCAACGCCGCGUGAGUGAAGAAGGGUUUCGGCUCGUAAAACUCUGUUGUUAAAGAAGAACAUAUCUGAGAGUAACUGUUCAGGUAUUGACGGUAUUUAACCAGAAAGCCACGGCUAACUACGUGCCAGCAGCCGCGGUAAUACGUAGGUGGCAAGCGUUGUCCGGAUUUAUUGGGCGUAAAGCGAGCGCAGGCGGUUUUUUAAGUCUGAUGUGAAAGCCUUCGGCUCAACCGAAGAAGUGCAUCGGAAACUGGGAAACUUGAGUGCAGAAGAGGACAGUGGAACUCCAUGUGUAGCGGUGAAAUGCGUAGAUAUAUGGAAGAACACCAGUGGCGAAGGCGGCUGUCUGGUCUGUAACUGACGCUGAGGCUCGAAAGUAUGGGUAGCAAACAGGAUUAGAUACCCUGGUAGUCCAUACCGUAAACGAUGAAUGCUAAGUGUUGGAGGGUUUCCGCCCUUCAGUGCUGCAGCUAACGCAUUAAGCAUUCCGCCUGGGGAGUACGGCCGCAAGGCUGAAACUCAAAGGAAUUGACGGGGGCCCGCACAAGCGGUGGAGCAUGUGGUUUAAUUCGAAGCUACGCGAAGAACCUUACCAGGUCUUGACAUACUAUGCAAAUCUAAGAGAUUAGACGUUCCCUUCGGGGACAUGGAUACAGGUGGUGCAUGGUUGUCGUCAGCUCGUGUCGUGAGAUGUUGGGUUAAGUCCCGCAACGAGCGCAACCCUUAUUAUCAGUUGCCAGCAUUAAGUUGGGCACUCUGGUGAGACUGCCGGUGACAAACCGGAGGAAGGUGGGGAUGACGUCAAAUCAUCAUGCCCCUUAUGACCUGGGCUACACACGUGCUACAAUGGAUGGUACAACGAGUUGCGAACUCGCGAGAGUAAGCUAAUCUCUUAAAGCCAUUCUCAGUUCGGAUUGUAGGCUGCAACUCGCCUACAUGAAGUCGGAAUCGCUAGUAAUCGCGGAUCAGCAUGCCGCGGUGAAUACGUUCCCGGGCCUUGUACACACCGCCCGUCACACCAUGAGAGUUUGUAACACCCAAAGUCGGUGGGGUAACCUUUUAGGAACCAGCCGCCUAAGGUGGGACAGAUGAUUAGGGUGAAGUCGUAACAAGGUAGCCGUAGGAGAACCUGCGGCUGGAUCACCUCCUUU